rnacentral:rRNA from 1 species
AGAGCGAACGCUGGCGGCAGGCUUAACACAUGCAAGUCGAGCGGGCGUAGCAAUACGUCAGCGGCAGACGGGUGAGUAACGCGUGGGAACAUACCUUUGGUUCGGAACAACACAGGGAAACUUGUGCUAAUACCGGAUAAGCCCUUACGGGGAAAGAUUUAUCGCCGAAAGAUUGGCCCGCGUCUGAUUAGCUAGUUGGUGAGGUAACGGCUCACCAAGGCGACGAUCAGUAGCUGGUCUGAGAGGAUGAUCAGCCACAUUGGGACUGAGACACGGCCCAAACUCCUACGGGAGGCAGCAGUGGGGAAUAUUGGACAAUGGGCGCAAGCCUGAUCCAGCCAUGCCGCGUGAGUGAUGAAGGCCCUAGGGUUGUAAAGCUCUUUGUGCGGGAAGAUAAUGACGGUACCGCAAGAAUAAGCCCGGCUAACUUCGCGCCAGCAGCCGC